GUCCCUUUAGCGCAAUGGCUAACGCGUUAGACUUCUAAUCCAGAAGUGGUGGGUUCCAAGCCCACAUGGGAUA